UGUACAUGUGAUUCCAAGCAAAUCAGGCGGACAACCAGAGAAGAAAGAUGUGCUCUUGGAGGAACACGAUCCUAUUUGGCUGGAGCUUCGACAUGCACAUAUAGCAGAUGCUAGUGAAAGAUUGCAUGACAAGAUGACUAAUUUCUUAUCGAAAAACAAAGCUGCUCAGCUUCAGCAUGGUAAGAGGUA